rnacentral:rRNA from 1 species
UACCAUGCUUCCAGGAAAAGUCUCUAAGCUUCAGUUACAUAGGAAUCGUACCCGAAACCGACACAGGUGGUCAGGUCGAGUAGACCAAAGCGCUUGAGAGAACUCUGCUGAAGGAACUAGGCAAAAUGGUACCGUAACUUCGGGAGAAGGUACGCUGCCGACGGUGAUAGGAUUUACUCCUUGAGCUAUUGGCAGCCACAGAAACCAGGCCCCUGCAACUGUUUAUUAAAAACAUAGCACUCUGCAAACACGAAAGUGGACGUAUAGGGUGUGACACCUGCCCGGUGCCGGAAGGUUAAUUGAUGGGGUUAGCGCAAGCGAAGCUCUUGAUCGAAGCCCCGGUAAACGGCGGCCGUAACAAUAACGGUCCUAAGGUAGCGAAAUUCCUUGUCGGGUAAGUUCCGACCUGCACGAAUGGCGUAAUGAUGGCCACGCUGUCUCCAGCCGAGACUCAGUGAAGUUGAAAUUGCGGUGAAGAUGCCGUAUACCCGCGGCUAGACGGAAAGACCCCGUGAACCUUUACU